rnacentral:rRNA from 1 species
CCUGCCCACUGAUUUAAAUUAAAGGGCCGCAGUAUAUUGACUGUGCGAAGGUAGCAUAAUAGAUUGUCUCUUAAAUGGAGGCUUGAAUGAAUGGUUGGAUGAAGGAUUAACUGUCUCUUAAAUAAUAAUUGAAUUUGACUUUUAAGUGAAAAGGCUUAAAUAAAUUAAAAAGACGAUAAGACCCUAUAAAUCUUUACAUUACAUAUAUUAUAUAUUUUAAUUUAUAAGUUAAUAGAUUAUAAAGUGUAUUUUUGUUAUACUGGGGCGGUAUAGAUAUAUAAAUAAACUGUUUAUAAAAUAAAAUCAAUUAUAAUUGAUUUAAAAAGUUGAUCCUUGAUAAAGAUUAUAAGAGUAAGAUACUUUAGGGAUAACAGCGUUAUUUUUUCUGAGAGUUCUUAUCGAAGAAAAAGUUUGCGACCUCGAUGUUGAAUUAAAAUUUCUUUAUAGUGCAGAAGUUAUAAAAGAAAGUCUGUUCGACUUUUAAUUUUUUACAUGAUUUGAGUUCA